rnacentral:misc_RNA from 1 species
GGCCACCGUUGGGGAGGGGGAUUCGAUCCCCAGAACGACCUCAUAGUAGCCGAGGGUUACGGUGCCGAGGAGGGGCAGCAGCAUGCCGAACGUGAACAGGUACCAGGGCAGCGGCCGGUUCGGGCGGUACAUGAAGAUGCCGCUCGCGAACGCCGCUAGCGUAGAUAUGA